UAAGGCUUUUUUAGCGAUUGACAGGUUUCCAGCACGAGUCGGAGACGACAAAGUCAUGACGUUUCAAAAUUAGUGAGGAAAAAUCGAUUACAAAACACGGGAUAAAAAGUUGAAAAGUCAUGUUUUCGUGUGAUUGUUGACCUCGUCUUCGUCUUGAAUCAACAAACUUCACACGAAAAGUGGAAUUUUCAACUUUUUAUUACUUCAAAAAGAAAAUUUUGCACCUG